GACGAACGCUGGCGGCGUGCCUAAUACAUGCAAGUAGAACGCUGAAGGAGGAGCUUGCUUCUCUGGAUGAGUUGCGAACGGGUGAGUAACGCGUAGGUAACCUGCCUGGUAGCGGGGGAUAACUAUUGGAAACGAUAGCUAAUACCGCAUAAGAGUAGAUGUUGCAUGACAUUUGCUUAAAAGGUGCAAUUGCAUCACUACCAGAUGGACCUGCGUUGUAUUAGCUAGUUGGUGGGGUAACGGCUCACCAAGGCGACGAUACAUAGCCGACCUGAGAGGGGGGUCGGCCACCCUGGGACUGGGACACGGCCCAGACUCCUUCGGGAGGCCGCAGUAGGGAAUCUUCGGCAAUGGACGGAAGUCUGACCGAGCAACGGCGCGUGAGUGAAGAAGGUUUUCGGAUCGUAAAGCUCUGUUGUAAGAGAAGAACGAGUGUGAGAGUGGAAAGUUCACACUGUGACGGUAUCUUACCAGAAAGGGACGGCUAACUACGUG
rnacentral:rRNA from 1 species